rnacentral:lncRNA from 1 species
AGAACUUCUGAGCAACGUGGCAGCUGCCGGGACCGGGCCUCUGAGUGCAGAGAGCAGGCGUUGCCAGGAGCGGACUCAGACAGUGGAGGCCCCUCGCUGACCCUCUCCGGGGCCACUGCAAAGGAAGAAGAAAAGCACAGGCAUCAGCUUCAACAAUGCAAAACAAAGUAAGCUUGAAUUCAGAUGAGGGGCAGUUAAAAUCGCAGCCUAGAAGUCCAAGUGUGGUUUGUAACACUCCAAACCCCAUGUCAGCCUUCAGUGAUUGUUCUGCUGACCAUGUUGCUACAGAGCGGCUUGGGUUUUUCCUUGUGGCAACUCCCCAGGGUGACAGAUUAUUCGGCAAUGUCACCAUUUUGUAGAUGUAUUCGGGAUUUCCAGCCAUAAGCCAUGGAUGAUAUUGGGGAUCCUUUAUUCCUGGUGGGUGCCCAUAAGAGUUUGCAAACUAUACCCAAAAGGGCACGGGAACCCCUAAACUUUCCAGGCUGUCUUGGCACACGGCUCACUAGAACUGUUAACGCCGUCAAAGUAUCUCUGACACGUCCUUAGCCUGUGUUUGAAAACCUGCAGAGAUGGGAUACGCCCCUUUACCAGAGACAGUGCAUUCCGUCCACUGGGAGUGACACACGGCCAAGCCAGGCUUCAAAGAGAGAGGUUCACCGUAUUCCAGUAGUGACUACUGGGAUUUAGGGUUGGAUCACCUUACCAGAGCUUGGAAGCUGCUAGAAGUUAACAUUAAUUUUAUUGUUCUUUAAAAUGAAAGUCCAGCAGGAGGGCCAGGAUUUGGGCAUCUCGGUCCUUCACGAAAAGAAAGGGUGAUGUUGAUUAGCCAUGUUCCACAUCCCCCGAGUUAAAUAUAGGAAUAGUUCUGACAUCUGACUCAAGAAUGUGUUUUCUUGCAUGAUAUUAAGGCAGAUGCACAGAUCCACGUAGAUUAAUCCCCUUCACUAGUAGCAGGGGCCCGAUGAGGUAGCUGAUGAGGAAGAGCCCCCGAGACCAGGCCCAGCGUGGGGCCACGGCCUUGGGAUCUGGACGACACCCCAGCGGUUCUGUGCCGCCAGCAGGCCCUGCCGCAUCUCUGGGCUGGAGCCCUGACUGUCAGCAGAUGAGGCCAUGGGUUGGGGUGUCUCUCCCACCAGAACGGCUUCGUGGGGUGCUCACUAUCCCCUGGUCAUGCUUCGGCACAGCUGGCACCGGCUCCCUGAGGGCCCACUGAUUGGUUUUACACAAGUCUGUGAAGCUUCCCACAAUGCACGAUGUCCUUAGCAAAUACAACACAGCCCGCUGGUAUCGCCUCUUCCUUCACUACCUCCACAACCACUUGUGGCAGAGGAGGAGCCUCCAGUUGCACUUGGCCAAGGCGGCUUUUGUAAGAACUUGACGGGACCAAGCCACCCCCACGGCAUCAUUUCCACGGGAGAACACAUCCCAGCGAAACUCCAAGGAAAGGGUAGUUUUGUGAAGAAAAUGCUUGUGUUCUAGGACACAGCCCAGCAAGUCCCUGACUUUAAAAAAUGUGUAAGAAACAGGAAUGUAACAUUGACGAAACAUGCCUGCCAAGAUGGACUUUCCUUGUGGCGAGACCCUUCCUUCUCCUCAAUGCCUGGGUGCUAGCAGGGUAGCAUCCCCAGCCUCAGAGCUCAAGCGUCAUGAUUGGGGAAAUGAGACUGGGCAGCCAUUCGGAAGGCCGGGCAAAGAAGAGUGUAAAGAGACAUUGGUCUCGUGCUGCAGAAUGAGUUACAAAUAGUGAAUCCUCAGCAAUACUGUCUCCCCGUGGACUGGAAUUUGGACCCGCUGCUGUGGCGGGCAGCUUUGACCCAAUGAGGACCACGCCUGGAAGGAUGUCAGAGCAGCAGGGACCUGGGUGGAGUGACCUGGUGGAACGGAGACGCCUGCCGGCUCAGCAGCCACAGCAGCAGCUGCCCGUCAUGGGACAGCAACGUGGCAAGAAUUCCCCACGGGUUCCGGGGGAGCCUGUGUUGCUGGACCCUUUGCCACACCACCGAACCUGGCCCAGAGGAGCAGGAAUUGGCCGAGUUCCAGGCCCUGCACCUGACGGGGGCUUCCUCAGCCUCUCAUGUGAUCCUCGCAGCAGGCUAACGUGCAGGCCCUUCUGUUUUCCAGAUUUGACAGUUGAGAGGGGAAAGCCAUGUUUUCAAAUGUUACAGUAGAAGAGGCAGGAUGCAAAUCCAGCCCUGGCUGGUGCUGAAGCUGGGGCAGGUGCAUCUGCAGGGUGCUGCCUUCAAGGCAGAGGGGUGACUGCUGUGUUUCAUGGCAGGGAAGCCCCCCUUGAUGCUCACACCACCCAGGUCGUACGGCUUUGAGGACAUCCCUUUCUUCAAACCCAGGUCAUCUGAACAGUGUGGCCUGAAUCCCAGGUUGGGAGUGAGUAAUUCAUCAUCCAAACUGAUUAGAGAAUCUGAGUGAGGGACCUUCAAGUCAGGGAUAGAGAACGGGCUUCGUCUUCUGGAGCUGCCAUAACAAAAUGCCGAAGACUGGGCGGCUUCAACCACACAAGGGCCUUUCGACACAGCCCUGGCAACUGGAAGCUGGGGGUCGAGGUGUGGGCAGGGCUGGUUCCUGGGGAAGGAUCUCCUCCCGGCUGCAGAUGGCCGCCCCUGGCUGCAUGCCCGCCUGGCUUUCCUCGGUGCUCACUCACCCCGGUGCCUCUUCUGCUUCUUAGAAGGAUCCCCAGCAGAUGAGGGCCCCAGCCUGGUGACCUCACUUACCCUCCAUCAUGUGCUGAAGGCCUGCGACAAGCACUUCUCAUCUUCCCAUCCUCUGACGGAGCCAGUCCCACCCACCACGUGGACGUGGGUGUUGUCUGUGGACCAAGGUCAGUGUUUUGUUGGUUUUUCUUAUUGUUUGGCACCAGCAUUACAUAGACCAAUAGACCUUGUUGUUCUCCGCCCGGAGGGGCUGGUGCUGUGGCUGGGGCACCGCCCUGGGUAGGCCCCGCCCCAGGCCAUGCAGUUCCCAGGCUCCUUUCUGGGAGGGGUUGGUUCUCACAAAGGGGGAAAAUCAUGAAAUGGCAAACCUGAGUCACGGCAGCACAGAGGACAGCCCCUGAAGGCAUAAGCAGGAAGGGCAUAAUGCUUUCCAAAAGAGAAAACUACAUGGACUUUACUGACUCAUCACUGAGUUCUGAGAUCACUGACACUUACACAUGUGUCCACGCUGUUGUGAGUCAUGGGGAAAAAUGGAGGAGCAAAAUGACCAAGUGGCAGGGUCUGUAAGAGUCUCUCACUGUAGGGAUGGGCUGCCCUGAGGAGACACUGCCCAGGCCUGGGUGCCCCGGGCCAAAGUCCUGACCCUUGCAGGGCUGUGUCCUGUGGAUGACAUGUGGCACUGGACUGCUCACUGACAGAAUUAGAAGUACCUUUUCCAAUAUUCAUGCCAUGAAGAGUUUGUUGGUGAGUUCUGAUCCACCCCUCUCAAAUCUGCCUAUAUAUGGGGCCGUCCAUGGUGAUGGGGUGGACAGCUGGGCUCUGCAACCUGCCAGCGUUUUCCUGCUGUGCCCUGAGGCAGUGCUCAGGCUAGCCAAAGAUCUGUGGGUGCUGAAUGCAGCUGUCCUCAUCGUGAGCUCCCUUUUUGUCACCAAAGCUGCUUCUCUUGGUUGAUUCUGUUAGGUGUGGGGUGUAUCCACAAUUUCUUAGGUUAAUACUUAAAAGAUAGAGACGUACUCAAUCCAGGUCCAGUGGAAUGCCUUUGGUAGUGGGAUUGUACCCAAAGUUCACAGAAGAUAAAUUUUAUAUAAAAUGAGCCAGGUUUGCUUUGUACAUUUCCAACUGUAGAAUGAAAUUUAGGGGACUGAAUAGUCAGUGUCUUAUUUCACUUGUGUCUUUGGAUACAAAUGUUUUUCUUUUAAAACUCCUGACUGCAUAUUCCUUGUGUGUGUGUGGCUUUUAGUCCUAGAUUGUAAAGCUUGCCAAGUCUGCCUGCUGGGAACUGACUCCUCUAUGCAGAAGCUCCCCUUCCUCUGACACAGUGCAGGUCACACCCAUCUUCAGUCUCUGCUCACCAUGACAGAGUCACAGCCACACCCGGGACAGAACCUGGGCUCCGGGCAGCAGGUAAUAGGAGGAUAUUCUACCCAGGGCCGGAACAAGCCAGGUCCAGCCUCAACUGCUCUGUGGCUAGUAAGUGCGAGGAUGCUGUGUCACAGGUGUCACACGUCACUAAGAGAACGUCGUGGGCGCACGGGGAAUGUCUUUAUGGCACUGUCUGGAAGCAGGCUGCAUCUCAGCAGCUCCAGAGGUUACAGGGGCUGGUUUUCACCAACACAAGAAGUGUUAGAGACAGGAGACGUGGAGGAACCUGUCGAACCUGGUGGGGAUCGAGUUUAAACACAUCUGCACACACUUGGGUGUGUGUGUCCCAGCGCAUCUCAGCCCUGAGUGCCCACACCUGGCUUCCCUGCCCCCCCACCCCUCCUACCCCACAGUCCACACUGCCCCACACCUACUCGUGUCCAGAAAGCUCUCGCUGAGCCUCCUCCCACAUCAGCCACUCUUGGAGGACUGAGAAAACAGUGGUGGGGGGCCAGUUCCCAAAUCCAGGCGCUCCUGGCACAUCCAAAUCCGGGACGACUGACCAAGGGCUCGCACUCAGCCUGAGGAAGCAAGUGGUCCUUUGACUCGGAGUAAGAACUGCUCAGAGGCCAACGUGCUCUGGCUCGGGUCCCCCUGGCACCUCCAGGCAGGUCUUUCUAAUUUGGUUCCUGAACACGCUCCAGCUCCCAUCCUGAGGCCUGCCCUUGCCCUUCCCUCCCCCAUUGCUCUUCCCACCCUCCUCCCUUGCCAUUCCCUGUCCUCAUUGCUCUUCCCACCUUCCUCCUUCCGCUCCCUCUCAAGGCCCUGCCCUGUCUGGUUCACCAUCCUCCUCUCGUCCUCUCCUGGCUCCUCCCCAGAGCUUGGUGUUCAUUCGGACGCCUUCUCCCUGCAGCCUCCACCAGGGCCCUGGCUGCCCUCGCCCUCCAGCAAGUCACUGUAUUUUACGUUCUUCAUGGAGUUUUUUACUUUUGAGAUUUAUCAACUUUACAUGCAUGUUUGCUGCACCCCCUCACUAGAUUUCAUCUACAUGGGAACAGAGACCCCUCUGCUUUGCUCCCUGCUGUAAACAUCCCGGCUCGGGAAAGUCUCUAUCUACAGACACUGCUGGGUGCUGAGUUUCCAGAGCAGUCAAUGCGAUGUGCGACUCCGUGGUGAGAACUGAAGAUGCAUGAGGAUGAGGGGCGCUCGAUCCCUGUCCUCUGUGAUCUGGUACAACAGAAUCAACCCCUGCAUGGUGGGCCCCAGUGAGCAGCCUGCGGGAUGCACGGAGCCACCCAGAAACACGUGAACUCGGUGGCAGCAGCAGAGACAGAAACAUCUCACAGUACACCAGGAAUGAAAGUGUAAAAUACUUAGCAUUUGACAAGGUUUCCAGUUAUAUGUUCUUCUUUGAGCAUCAAAUGAGGGUCCCAUACCUAUUUCUGUGCUCAUGUUACAGACAGAAUGGAAACACAGAGAGUUACAGAGAUGUGAUCCAGGUGGGGGCUGGGAAGGGGCUUCCUGCAGAGGUUUAUACCCAGGCUCGUGGAGAAAAUGCCCUACGAGGGACCAAGCCAAGGACUCAAGCAAACGCAGGGAAUGAGACAGCGUUUCCAGGCCAGAAUGCGGGAGCCCUUCAGCAGAAUCAGGGGUUAGGAAGCUCGGUGACUUCAGGCAGGAAGGCGAUGGAACGGGAACAGGGUCUUUCUGUUUCACGUAGGCGAUGGAACGGGAAUGGGGGUCUUUACUUUUCACGCAGGUGAUGGAACAGGAACGGGGUCCUUCCAUGUGGGAAAUGCUGAGCCUGCGCUGCCAACCGCCUCCGGGUGAGACAUCUUGUGGACAGCUGGGACAGGCGGCAGAGUAAGAGGCAGUGGUUUAGAAGUCAAAUGCCCUUGGACAAUUGUGGAAGCUUUUGAUUUUAUUAUUUUAUUAUUAACUGAAAAAAAUAGAAAAUAGAAAAUAGAAAAAAAUAGAAUUGGAGAGGAGGAAUAAGUAGAUGUUUAGCAACAGAGCGUGCAAUGCAGCAGCACACUGAGAAAAGUAGCCCAGAAAGGACGGGGAGCUUCAGGAGGCGACAACUCACAAAUAUGACGGCCACUCACAGGCCAGUCCUGCAAACGACAGAUGACUCCAGGAGAGGCCGGGCGUGGUGGCUCACACCUGCAAUCCCAGCACUUUGGGAGGCUGAGGCAGGUGGAUCACCUGAGGUCAGGAGUUCGAGACCAGCCUGGCCAACAUGGCGAAACCCCGUCUCUACUAAAAAUACAAAAAUUAGCCGGGCGUGGUGGCGGGCACCUGUAAUCUCAGCUACUCGGGAGGCAGAGGCAGGAGAAUUGCUUGAACCUGGGAGGCAGAGGUUGCAGUGAGUCGAGAUCAUGCCAUUGCAAUUCAGCCUGGGCAACAGGGCGAGACUCCAUCUCGAAAACAAAACAAAACAAAACAAAUGACUUGAGGAGACGGCUUCAGAAAAUACUGUUGUGUUUGGUGACUGAGUGGUUAUUCAUGUUCUUGGACAAUGCUUUCCAAAUGUUAGUUUGCCUACAGGUCACGCAAACAUCCUGCAUGUGAAGGCAGACUCCGGAGGUCUGGGAAGCACUGGGUUUUGGGUUUUUUUGUAUAAAAGCUUCCAGAUGGCACUGAUGCUGCCUGUCAGGGGACUACACCUUGACAAGCCUGUAGAGACUGUGUUAGAAGGGCAGGGUGAACACCAGAUCCCGUAGCGAGGUAAGGGGUAAGCAGGUGUGAGGAGGCAGGGCAGACACAUGGCCGCCUUCUAGGAGUCUGAGAGUGGAGAUUAGGAUAAUAGAAGCUUAAUGGCAUUUUAAGGUUAAAGAUCUUAUUUUUUGCUUUGUAUUGAUUUUGGACGGAUGAGUCCUGGAAAAAUUAAUUGCCAAGGGUCACUUGGAAGAGAGUGGGUGCCGUGACAUCGGUGGGGUCACCCAAUGUCAGACUGGCGAGCAUUUUGAGUUGCCCGUAACUGUUGUGCCUCAAGCUCCUGGUGUUCCCGGAGGCUGUGCCCUGGAGGCCCGUUGCAGAGAACACGGAGGCACAUUCUCCUGCUGUGAAGUCAGCCCAGGCAAGGCAGGCGUGGCAGCCUGUACCAUUGGUGUGGCCACGGGGCCGAGAGGGCAGGAAACAGAGAGAGGGAGGUUGGUUUCAUGUUGCAAAAUGCCGGAUGAGUGGGCAAACCCCCCGCAAUUCUGUCUGGCCAAAUUAUACUUUUAGGUUCAGGCCUAUACUUUAUAUUUUAAAAGCUCAAAUUAUUUUAUAAUCUCCUGAAAAUACAUCAUCUUGCCAUUUGCUUUCAAUACUGCACUGCGACCUUUUAUAAUCUUUCAAAAACAUGUUCUCCCUUUGGAUAAAUGAGAAAAUAAAUAGUAUUCAGUGAAGACCAACUACUGAAUUAUUUUAAAAUAUCUUGUUUAUAAAAGGUUUUUACCAGUGAGAGGAUUUAAGAGUUGCUUGGCUCUUGAAGCCAGCAGAGACUUCUGUGUGCAUUGCUUCAUUUGUGGGGGAGGACUCUAGCCCCACAUGGCAGAUGAAAAACUGUGCCUCGGAGGAGUUAAGCGAAUUGCUGAGGAUGGUACCACAGAGAGCGACUGAGGCGACAGCCAGCAUCCAGCCUCCAGAGUUCCACUGUGCUUCCCCAAAGACAGGCGGGCUCUCCUCAAGCACAUUUUUACUUUAGGAGCUGCUGAAACUGGGGUGUGGACCACGGGAUCCCCCCUGACCAGCCUCAAGCCCGAGCCUGCGAUUCUCUCAUCCGCACUUCACCAGCUGAGGUGAAGGGUGGGCCUCCAUUUUGGUUGAAUUACAUUCUCUCUCACAGAACCAUCUGGAAACCCCAUCACCUUAAUAAUUCAGUGUUGUUUGAUGCUGUGAAAGGUGAAAAAGACUUCAAUUCUUACUACCAAAUUGUGCUGGGGAGUGACACAGAUAGUCAGUCUCUCAGCAGCACGCACACCCUGUUAGAAGGGGGUAUGGUUUUUACUUUCCGCUUAUUCCCGGCAAAUCCUGUGGCUUCCACUAAGCAAGGAUGUCCUCUGAGCACCCUGACCCUCCCGAUUCCCGUGCACCGCCCCAGCCUCCGCUGUCGCCUGCCCUCCACCUGGCGCCUCCGUUAUUUACUUGUUCCCCAGGUUCAGUCUCGGGCGGCCUCGGCUUUCUCCACGUCUUCUCCCUGCACAGUGGCAACGCUUCCAGAACCCCAGCUGCUCUAACACCAGGCCCAGCUCCUCCAACCCAAGCGUCUCUACCCAACUGUGGGAUCUGUCCGCACCUCCAGAUGGGGAGGCCCACGUCUCCGUGUCACCUGAGGGCGGGUGUGUUUAGAAGCAUGCUUUUGCAUCUCCACCACUGGAGACACAGGGACUUGGGGUGUGUACGUUUUGUGAAAACUCAAACAUGGGCCUCACCUUUUGGUUUUAUGGAUGUGAACCACGUCCCUGCAGUCAUCAGAGUGGAAUGCUGCUAGCGGCUGGCCCUAGGCUGAGUGUUUGACCGGGAAUACCCACACACUUCUCUCAACUAACCCGUGAGGUUGGCAUGUUCAGUACCUGGGGAGAAAGUGGGGUAACAAUGACAGGACUAAAGCCCACAGCCUGGGGCCUGGCACCUGGCAAGUGCCCUCUGGGUGUUGGUGGAGUUCUUACUUGGAUGACUUUAAUCAUUACAGAGGCUCCCUAAGGCCACACAGCUGGUAGGGGCUCUGGCCCCGUCUCAUCUCACUCCAGAGCCCCAGGUGAGUGCAAGGCAGAACCUCUAUGUUUCUGUCUCAGAUUCUUCUCAUUGCUUUGUUUUUCUCAAAACAUUUCAUUUUAUCAAUGAUGAAUACUAAAAUUAGAUUAUUUUCUUUUUGUUGAAACUAUAUGUAUUGAUUUUUUGUCUUUGGAGUUGUCAUAAAACACCUGUGGUCAAAUCCAGGCCCUUCCAGUUACCAGCAAUGUGACCCUCUGCACGCUAAUCACCUCCCUGAUGACUCAGUUUCCCCAUCUGUAAAGGAGAAGCAAUGGAAGUACUGGGCAGUUUAAAUAACAUAAAUGUUGCAGAACACUUGGUACAUGGCCAGACAUGCAGUAGGUAUUCCAUAAAGGAAGCUAUUUGUAUUUUUUGUUUCAAAUUCUAUUCCAUGGUGAACGUUUGUUUACUGUCUCAGAUGUGAUGUGAGAUUCCAUUUUGAAUAGCUUUCAGGAAUGUGACACGAAAUUAUCUUCCUUCUUCCAUCAGCUAAAAACUACUGUAUAAAUGUUUCAAGCUCUGCUCCCCCUACUCUUACCAAUGAUAAACAUGCCCCUAGGUUUCCCCUACAGCCACCCCAGCUCCUCGCUCUACAUCUCCCUCUCCCCACCGCCACCUUCCGCCCCUGCCCUGCGGCUCCCACCGCCCCUGCCCUGCUGCUCCCACCGCCCCUGCUCUGCUCUGCUGCUCCUUCCGCCCCUGCCCUGCGGCUCCUACGGCCCCUGCCCUGCUGCUCCUUCCGCCCCCGCCCCGCUGCUCCUUCCGCCCCCGCCCCGAGGCUCCUUCCGCCCCUAUCGCUCUGCUCCUUCCGCCCCUGCCCGGCGGCUCCUUCCGCCCCUGCCGCUCUGCUCCUUCCACCCCUGCUCUGCUGCUCUGGGCUUUCCCCGAGGCUUUGCUGCCCACACUCUUCUUGCUCGUCAGACCCACCAAGGUUGCAGAGAAAGGCAGACAGCAGCAGAUGGCUAGGAAACGAAUACUCAACAAUAGGGUGAUUUCAGAACUAAAUUCCAAAGAAUUCAGCCUACAGAGCAAAAACUCACUCAAAAAACCAAAAAGAUGGAGAU